rnacentral:rRNA from 1 species
UACGUAGGUGGCGAGCGUUGUCCGGAUUUACUGGGCGUAAAGAGCGCGCAGGCGGUCCUGUAAGUCGAAUGUGAAAGCCCCCGGCUCAACUGGGGAGGGUCAUUCGAUACUGCUGGACUCGAAGGCAGGAGAGGGAAGCGGAAUUCCCGGUGUAGUGGUGAAAUGCGUAGAUAUCGGGAGGAACACCAGUGGCGAAGGCGGCUUUCUGGCCUGUUCUUGACGCUGAGGCGCGAAAGCUAGGGGAGCGAACGGG